CCUACGGGUGGCAGCAGUGAGGAAUAUUGGUCAAUGGGCGGGAGCCUGAACCAGCCAAGUCGCGUGAGGGAUGACGGCCCUAUGGGUUGUAAACCUCUUUUGCCGGGGAGCAAAGUGCCGCACGUGUGCGGUUUGGAGAGUACCCGGAGAAAAAGCAUCGGCUAACUCCGUGCCAGCAGCCGGGGUAAUACGGAGGAUGCGGGCGUUAUCCGGCUUUACUGGGUUUAAAGGGUGCGUAGGGGGAAUCUUAAGUCUGCGGGAAAAUUGCGGGGCUAAACCUCGUCGAGCCGUUGAAACUGGGUGCCUUGAGUGGGCGAGAGGUACGCGGAAUGCGUGGUGUAGCGGUGAAAUGCGUAGAUA
rnacentral:rRNA from 1 species